rnacentral:lncRNA from 1 species
UUAAAAACUGUGGCAUAGACACUGAGAACUGGAGAACUAAUUGGAGGUCAGCUGUGACCAGCAGUGCUGCGGAGUUCGAAGAUUCACGAAUGGAGGGCUUAAGGGAGAAACGUGCCAAGAGGAAGGCCCAUUAAGUCAACCCUGACCGGGACCGCCUUCCGCCUGGAAACCGAUGUCCUCACUGCGGGAGAACAUGCAGAUAAAGAAUAGGUCUCUUCAGCCAUCUAAGAACCCACCCUCAAGACCCCACAGCUGGAAGACCAUCAUCCUCGAACUACAAGGGAUCGCCUAAGUAAGUAAGUAAAACUCAUUUAAUACAGACUGAACUGAACUGAACUGGAUUAUGUGAGUUUACACUGCUAUAUAAUCUAGUUCAAUGCAGUUAAUCUGAAUUCUGAAACUGCAUUAUAUGACAGUGUAGAUGGGGCCAUAGUCUUUCAGAUUAUCUCAAAAGUGUACUCAAGUGAGUAUACCUGCCCCUUCACAGAAAUUUCAUUUCUCCCCUGCUCCUUCCAGGCUCAGUUUAGAGUCAUAGUCAUAACCUAGAAAAGCCGUCUUGGAUUGGAUGCAGAAUAUCUCAAAAUGGUGCCUAAGCCUAGUGUACCUGGUGAUUUUUUAAGGGAAAGUUUUACAUAAUCCUCACUACGGUUAAUAACACAGCAAGAGGGUUUCCACCUCUAUCAUGAUUUUUGGUCUCAGUGUCUCCUGUAUUGAUAAUAGUGGUUAGACCUAAGAGGCAUGACAAACAUGCAUGCAGACAUAGGUUACACUGACACGAAGAACUGCGAAAUCUUUACUACUGGAUAAUAUUAUUGGUUAUUUGUGGUAUUCUUUAGUAUUAAUUUUUCAAUUAUUCACCCAGGCACAUCUUCAACAGGCCUUUUUAACAAUUUACAGGGUUCACAGCAAAAGUGCUUGAAGCAGCCUUCCUCUGUUAGAGAGCUUUUUCCACCUGUCAUUUCCAUUUGUGAAAUCCUUUCUGUGAUUGAUAGGAUGGCAAAGACCAGACAGAAAGGCAGAGGCACAGCGAGCGACAUGACUAUUGCAAUGCGCUCUACGUGGGGCUGCCCUUGAAGACGGUCCGGAAACUCCAAUUAGUCCAACACUCGGAAGCCAGGUUUCUAACUGGAGCGAAUAACAGGGAGCGGUCUACCCCCCUGUUUAAGGAGCUCCAUUGGCUGCUGUCAUCUUCCAGACCCAAAUCAAGGUGCAGGUGAUUACCUACAAAGCCCUGAAUGGUUUGGGACCCACCUACCUUCAUGACCGC